rnacentral:tRNA from 1 species
UCCCUGAUGGCUCAGUGGUAAAGAAUCUGCCUUCAAUGCAGGAGACACAGGUUCGAUCCUUGGGUUUGGGAA